UUCAAGUUUUUCUAAAAUAAAGAAUCAGAGUAUGCCGGAUAAUACUUUUAAUUUUGGAUGCCUAAUAAAUCAUGCUUCUAGUUCAUUCAUAUUCAAAAUCAUUUUGGUUCUUUUUAUAGUAAGAGUCUGAACCAUUUUCGCAAUAUCUUAAGCAAUGUGGGACCUUUUUCACUU
rnacentral:sRNA from 1 species